rnacentral:rRNA from 1 species
AACGAACGCUGGCGGCGUGCUUAACACAUGCAAGUCGAACGAGACGAUUGAAAGCUUGCUUUCGAAAGUCGAGUGGCAAACGGGUGAGUAACGCGUAGACAACCUGCCUUUGAGAUGGGGACAACAGUUCGAAAGGACUGCUAAUACCGAAUGUUGUAUAUUUUCCACAUGGAAGAUAUAUUAAAGAUGGCCUCUAUUUAUAAGCUAUCGCUCAAAGAUGGGUCUGCGUCUGAUUAGCUGGUUGGUGGGGUAACGGCCUACCAAGGCGACGAUCAGUAGCCGGUCUGAGAGGAUGAACGGCCACAUUGGGACUGAGACACGGCCCAGACUCCUACGGGAGGCAGCAGUGGGGAAUCUUCCACAAUGGACGAAAGUCUGAUGGAGCAACGCCGCGUGAGUCAAGAAGGGUUUCGGCUCGUAAAGCUCUGUUGUCGGGGACGAAUGUGCAGUAUUUGAAUAAAGUACUGUAAUGACGGUACCUGACGAGGAAGCCACGGCUAACUACGUGCCAGCAGCCGCCGUAA